GAUGAAGAACGUAGCGAAAUGCGAUACUUGGUGUGAAUUGCAGAAUCCCGUGAACCAUCGAGUCUUUGAACGCAAGUUGCGCCCGAAGCCAUUAUGCCGAGGGCACGCCUGCCUGGGCGUCACACGUCGUUGCCCCCCCAUCUACUCCUUCGGGAUUGCGGGGGGCGGAUGAUGGCCUCCCGUGCGCCUCGUCGCGCGGUUGGCAUAAAUGCCAAGUCCUCGGCGACGCACGCCACGACAAUCGGUGGUUGCGAAACCUCGGUUGCCCGUCGUGUGCGGUCGUCGCGCAUCGAGGGCUCGAAAAAAUUGUCGGGCUCCGGCUCGGCUUUCAACGCGACCCCAGGUCAGGCGGGGUUACCCGCUGAAUUUAAGCAUAUCAAUAAGCGGAGGA
rnacentral:misc_RNA from 1 species